GGCAUCUCCCCAAUACCUACGACCCCAACUCCCUCCAGCGCCGCCGCCACCGCCCCCCUCUUCUGCAACCACCACGCCGUCCGCGCAACCCUAAAGCACGCUGCUCCUUUCCCUUCCCAAGCCGCCCUGGAUCUGGCGAUGGAGGUGGCCGCCGUCGUGGCCAUGGAGGUCUCGCCAGCCGCCUUCGAAGUCCUACAUCCCCGAUAUCGACGGGAUUGCAGCCGCCUGGCCAAGGUCGUCGUCCCUCGACGAGCUCCUCCAUAAAUUUUGGUUCCCCAUAGUGCCUACGGGCCGCCUCUCCCUCUCCAUCCUACGCCCCUCCUUCUCCACUUUAGAUUUCGGCUGAAGAUCGCCUCUCCCUAUUCCCCUUCCAAUCUGGAGCACAGGCGGAGAGCCUGGUUGUGUGCGACGGAGAUGGCGCCCCGCCUCUGCGCCUCAUAAGGCUGGGCGUAGCUUCGCCGAGGCCAUGACCUCUCCAGGAGGGGAGUCCGGGAGGCGGGACAGCCGGCAGCGGCGCCAUUCUGUUUGGGGAUGCUUGGAUCUGGUGAUGCUAGAGCAUGGGAACGGGAAACAUCACCUCAGCUAUGGAAUUUCAAAUAGCCAAUUUACCUUUCUCCCUAAAGAUUUCUUACACUGCUGUUAGUAUCAUUGCUCUUGGGGUCUAGAUUUUGUUAAUAUCAAAAUCUGGGUACUUACCAGCAAACGAGUUGUUGAUCUAUUUACUUAGUCAAGUUCAUUUAUGCUA